UACGUAGGGGGCAAGCGUUAUCCGGAUUUACUGGGUGUAAAGGGAGCGUAGACGGUAUGGCAAGUCUGAUGUGAAAACCCGGGGCUCAACCCCGGGACUGCAUUGGAAACUGUCGGACUAGAGUGUCGGAGAGGCAAGUGGAAUUCCUAGUGUAGCGGUGAAAUGCGUAGAUAUUAGGAGGAACACCAGUGGCGAAGGCGGCUUGCUGGACGAUGACUGACGUUGAGGCUCGAAAGUGUGGGGAGCAAACAGG
rnacentral:rRNA from 1 species